AAGGCCUUGCGCAGACCUAGGAAGGCAUUUGGCUAGGUGAGCACUGGGAAGGCAUUUGGCUAGGUGAACACUGGGAAGGCAUUUGGCUAGGUGAACACUGGGAAGGCAUUUGGCUAGGUGAACACUGGGAAGGCAUUUGGCUAGGUGAACACUGGGAAGGCAUUUGGCUAGGUGAACACUGGGAAGGCAUUUGGCUAGGUGAGCACUGGGAAGGCAUUUGGCUAGGUGAACACUGGGAAGGCAUUUGGCUAGGUGAACACUGGGGAGGCAUUUGGCUAGGUGAACACUGGGAAGGCAUUUGGCUAGGUGAGCACUGGGAAGGCAUUUGGCUAGGUGAACACUGGGGAGGCAUUUGGCUAGGUGAACACUGGGAAGGCAUUUGGCUAGGUGAACACUGGGAAGGCAUUUGGCUAGGUGAGCACUGGGAAGGCAUUUGGCUAGGUGAACACUGGGGAGGCAUUUGGCUAGGUGAACACUGGGGAGGCAUUUGGCUAGGUGAGCACUGGGAAGGCAUUUGGCUAGGUGAACACUGGGGAGGCAUUUGGCUAGGUGAGCACUGGGAAGGCAUUUGGCUAGGUGAACACUGGGAAGGCAUUUGGCUAGGUGAGGACUGGGGAGGCAUUUGGCUAGGUAAGUACUAGUAAGGAGGCAUUUGGCUAGGUGGGGAGAGGUAGGGAAACGUUGGAACAUACAGGAUAAGGUUAGGAAAGGUUGGGUAAGGUAGGAGAAGUUAGGUCAGUGGAGGAAAAUGUAUAGGGAAAGGUUCGAACAUACAGGAUAAGGUUAGGAAAGGUUGGGUAAGGUAGGAGAAGUUAGGUCAGUGGAGGAAAAUGUAUAGGGAAAGGUUCGAACAUACAGGAUAAGGUUAGCAAAGGUUGGGUAAGGUAGGAUAAGGUUAGAUCAGGGAAUGGAAAGGUAGUUAUCCAUCAUUUUAUUGUUGUUUAGGUAAUUGAAAACCGUUGUGAGUUUAAUGUUUACUCCUUUACUUUAGUCCAAAAAACUAUAGAUACUUUGAAAGGUAUAUUAUUUUGAGUUCAUAACAUUAUAUAACUUAACAAAAUCGUAAUUGAAAUCAUUGUGACAUUACUGUUUCUGCUUUACUUUAGUCCACAAAAAAUAUAGAUACUUUAAGAGGAAUAUUAUUGAGUUCAUAACAUUAUAUAACUUGACAAAAUCGUUAUUGAAAUCAUUGUCACUUUGCUGUUUCUGCUUUACUUUAGUCCACAAAAAAUAUAGAUACUUUGAGAGGAAUAUUAUUGAGUUCAUAACAUUAUAUAACUUGACAAAAUCGUAAUUGAAAUCAUUGUGACUUUAAUGUUUACUCCUUUACUUUAGUCCACAAAAUUAUCGAUACUUUGAGUAGAACACUAUUUUGAAUUCAUAAUCUUACAUAACUUGACAAACAACUGAUUAAUAUCCCACUUACCUGCGAGCUCAAGGUGUGCAUGACUUAAUUAAUGAACUUACCUGCACCUAGUCACAGCCAAAAGUAUAAAUUCACGCAUGGUAUAGAGAAAACGGGAAACUAAUGUAAAGAAAACGGGGUACCAUUGGACACUUAUCUCCCUUUUUCAUGGGGGUCUUAAGUACUUCCUCAGGGGUCACUCCUUUCCCUUCCCCUCUUUUGUAGACGGUUGUAGAGGGGGGGAAGAGGGAAAUUAAGGGGAAGUAAUGCAUUUUCCCCUCAAUCCCCACUUUAGGGUGCCCAAAUUGGGGAAUGAGACGGAAAAUAAAGAGGAAAAUGCAUCUUUCUUCCCCAUUCCCCAAAUUAAAAUAUCAAAAAAGGGGAGUAAAAGGAAAACUAAAGGGAAAACAAUACAUAUUUCCCCUCAAUCCCCAACUUCAGGUGUUCAAAGAGGGGAAGAAUUGGGAAAAUGUAUCUUUUUUACCCUUUUUCCCUAACAAUGCCAUUCGUAAGGCGAAGGGAACGGCGGGAAAUCAAUGUACCCUCUUCCCCUUAGUAUGAAAUUUAUGGGGAAAAGAGGGAAGGGAAAGAGAAGGGGAUUGAUAAUGUACACCCUUAACCCUGGUGUUUUAAGGGGAAGAUUAUUUUAAAGGGGAAAAGAAUGAGGGUGGAGUAGAUUGCCCCCUUAACCCUUAGUAUGACGUUCUAAGGGGAAGAUUUUAAAGGGGAAAGAGAAUGAGGGUGGAGUAGAUUGCCCCCUUAACCCUUAGUAUGACGUUCUAAGGGGAAGAUUAUUUUAAAGGUGAAAGAUAACGCAGGAAUUUAAAGUAGCCCACAUAUGCGUCUUGGCCAUGGGGGGGAGACAUCUAGCGGUGGGAAGUGGAAACAGUGUCACACGGGAGCCAAUACAGACUUGGAAGUAGUUUUUGUCUGUAUAUAGUUUAGCUUUUUUCUUUUGUUUCUAUUCUAUCGGUUAUACUAUUCUAUUCUAUCGCUUCACCGUGCUGCUAUUGGAAGUUUGUUUAGUUUAUACUCUAUACGUCUUUACUACGGGUUCAUUGUCUUUGCUUCGUCCAUGAGGGUUGGUGUGGGUGUGUUUGUGUGGGUUACGAUGAGGAGAGAGGAGGAGGGGAAGGAGAGGGAGAUUCUGUGUGUGUUUUGGGUAAGUGUCAUUUGUGUAAAGUGUGCGGGAAAGGGUCAGUCAUGUCACACGAUCGAUUUAAAAGUUGCAUCAAAAAGGUUAUAUUUGUGGACUGAAAAAUAGCGCCAUUAUGAAAAAAAAGACGUUUUAUAUAUUUUUUUAAGGAUUUCUUGUCAAAACACUUUAAAAAUAGGCAUCUCAACCACGCCACUGGAUAAAAAAAAAAAAGCCCAUCAUUCAGUAAAAGAAAAAAGAGAAAAAAUAACGUCGAAAAAAUGUACCAGAAAAAUAGUUAUAUAAAAAAUCUAUAAAAAAUGAAUCGUUUGUGUGACAUGACCGAAAUUUGACAUGGAUAUCGUCAGCGUUGCCUUGCCAGUGUAGCGCAGCGGGACAGGGAACAGAAGAAGGGACAGCAGGGAACGGGGAGACAACAGAAAACACGAGACAACAGAGAACAGGAGGACAAGACAGAACGAAGAUAAACAAUAGAUAUGUUAUUAGACAAAAAACACAGAAAGGAACGUCAUUUGCCUUUUUUCUUUUUUCUUUUUAUAAUGAUUCAGGUUUAGCAAAUUUAACAAGCACAGCAAAUUGGAUCUUCAGUUCUUCAUAAGUUUAUUUUUUUAUUCUAUUGGCCAUUCGAAGUUUAAAAGAAAGGUAUAUUUUAGAACCUUAUGUGGUAAUGGACUCGAUAGAUUACAUAAAACAAGAAUCAUUAUCACCCUUUUGUUGGAGUGAGAGGAGAGAGAAGAAGAGGAAGAAAGGAGACAGGGAAGAAUGACAGGAAACAUGACCAGUCUUUCGUUAGAGUGAGAGAGAGGAAAGAGCAGACAAGGAAGAAAGACAAGAAAGAUCAGAGAAGACAACUGGAACAGGAACCAUCACCGGAGACACAUCUUGAAAUAACAAAUGAAAGAAUGAAGACCGAGGAUUAUAUUAGAAAAAUGAAGAACAGAAAUGACAGGAGAGCAAGAAUCAACUGACGGAAAACAAAAGAAGAUCAAGGAAGGAAGGAAGGAGGGAAGGCAGAACAGACGAGAACACAACACAAGAAACAGAACUAGAGGGAACAUAAAAGCAAUUUGGAAAGAGAUAAAAGAACAUUGAAAGAAGAACAAAGAUAAAAGGAGGGUAAGAAGAACAGACGAGAACACAAGAAACAGAACUAGAGGGAACAUAAAAGCAAUUAGGAAAGAGACAAAGAACGUUGAAAGAAGAACAAGGAUGAUAAAAAGAGGGUGAGAAGAACAGACAAGAACACAACCCACGAAACAGAACUAGAGGGAACAAAACAGCAAUUCGGAAAGAAACAAAAGAAAGUCGUGAAGCUUAAAGAACAAACAAGAACAUUGAUAGACUAACAAACAUGAUCAGAGGAAAAUUAAAAGACAAAAAGCAACGAAGGAAGUUAGAAAUCAUGAAGAACAAGCAGAAUUAUAACAACCAUCAUAACAAGGGGUGACCACAAGCACAACACGAGUCAUACAAGCACACAAGCGAAGAAUCUGAAGCUGAGGAGAAAUAGAAAAGCCAGUAUUCUUAAAUGUCUCGGCUCAUCAGUUCUCCUGUUUAAAAAGCCUCUGGUCGUGGUAGUUGGUGGGCUUUUUCAUGGACUGUUUGGUGAUCCUAGUGAUAGUUUUACACGCCUUCUGCAUUUUGAAAGGGAAAACCACCCGUGAAAACCACCCAUGAAAACUAUCCAUGAAAAUCUGGUUCGCCUCCUGGAAAAGCCUCUCGUCGUGGAAGUUGCUGGGCUUGUCACGGACUGUCCUGUUUUCCUAGUGAUAGUUUUACACGACUUCUGCAAUUUGAACGGGAGAACCACCCAUGAAAAGCCUCUCGUCGUGGAAGUUGCUGGGCUUGUCACGGACUGUCCUGUUUUCCUAGUGAUAGUUUUACACGACUUCUGCAAUUUGAACGGGAGAACCAUCCAUGAAAAGCCUCUCGUCGUGGAAGUUGCUGGGCUUGUCACGGGCUGUUCUGUUUUCCUAGUGAUAGUUUUACACGACUUCUGCAAUUUGAACGGGAGAACCACCCAUGAAAAGCCUCUCGUCGUGGAAGUUGCUGGGCUUGUCACGGGCUGUUCUGUUUUCCUAGUGAUAGUUUUACACGACUUCUGCAAUUUGAACGG